rnacentral:rRNA from 1 species
AGCGAACGCUGGCGGCAGGCUUAACACAUGCAAGUACGAGCGGGCGUAGCGAUACGUCAGCGGCAGACGGGUGAGUAACGCGUGGGAACGUACCUUUUGGUUCGGAACAACACAGGGAAACUUGUGCUAAUACCGGAUAAGCCCUUACGGGGAAAGAUUUAUCGCCGAAAGAUCGGCCCGCGUCUGAUUAGCUAGUUGGUAGGGUAAUGGCCUACCAAGGCGACGAUCAGUAGCUGGUCUGAGAGGAUGAUCAGCCACAUUGGGACUGAGACACGGCCCAAACUCCUACGGGAGGCAGCAGUGGGGAAUAUUGGACAAUGGGGGCAACCCUGAUCCAGCCAUGCCGCGUGAGUGAUGAAGGCCCUAGGGUUGU